rnacentral:rRNA from 1 species
UACGUAGGGUGCGAGCGUUGUCCGGAAUUAUUGGGCGUAAAGAGCUCGUAGGCGGUUUGUCACGUCUGCUGUGAAAUCCCGAGGCUCAACCCCGGACUUGCAGUGGGUACGGGCAGACUAGAGUGUGGUAGGGGAGACUGGAAUUCCUGGUGUAGCGGUGAAAUGCGCAGAUAUCAGGAGGAACACCGAUGGCGAAGGCAGGUCUCUGGGCCACUACUGACGCUGAGAAGCGAAAGCAUGGGGAGCGAACAGG